GACGAACGCUGGCGGCGUGCUUAACACAUGCAAGUCGAACGCUGAAGCUUGGUGCUUGCACUGGGUGGAUGAGCGGCGAACGGGUGAGUAAUACGUGAGUAACCUGCCCUUGACUCUGGGAUAAGCCCGGAAAACUGGGUCUAAUACUGGAUAAUACAUGCCACUGCAUGGUGGUGUGUGGAAAGGGUUUUCGUGGGUUUGGAUGGGCUGAGGGCCAAUGAGCUUGUUGGUGGGGUAAUGGCCGACCAAGGCGACGACGGGUAGCCGGCCUGAGAGGGUGGCCGGCGACACGGGGACUGAGAGAGGGAGCAGACUGCUAUGGGAGGCAACGGUGGGGAAUAUGGCACAGUGGGCGGAAGCGGGUGACAGCGACGCCGGGUGAGGGAUGACGGCUUUCGGGGUGAGAACCUCUGUCGGCACGGAAGAAGCGAGAGUGACGGUACCUGAAGAAGAAGCGCCGGCUAACUACGUG
rnacentral:rRNA from 1 species